rnacentral:rRNA from 1 species
UACGUAGGGGGCGAGCGUUAUCCGGAUUUAUUGGGCGUAAAGCGUGUGUAGGCGGUUUGUUAAGUGUAAAAUCAAAGCCUGGGGCUCAACCCCAGUUCGUUUUACAAACUGGCAGACUUGAGUGUGGUAGAGGCAAGUGGAAUUUCUAGUGUAGCGGUUAAAUGCGUAGAUAUUAGAAGGAACACCAGUGGCGAAGGCGGCUUGCUGGGCCAUUACUGACGCUGAGACACGAAAGCGUGGGGAGCAAAUA